GCUUUCCAUUUCUGCAAAAAAACUUGUUGGACAUUUGGCAAGAGCUGCACUGAAUCUGUAGAUUGCUUUGGGAAGUAUUGACAUCUUAACAAUAUCAAAUCUCCGUAUCCAUGAAAAAUAAUGUCUUCUCAUUUAUUUAGAUUUGGCUAGCUGAUUGGCUGCUGAAAAAUAAUCCUAACAAACCCAAACUUUGUCACCAUCCAAUUGUAGAAGAACCUUAUUAAAAAAAAAAUCCUCGAAAGAACAAAUCAUGAACUAUCUUAUUAUAAAAGGCUGUACUUCUACUGUUUGAAAAAAUUAUUUCUAGGGUUUAAGUAACUACAAGUAAAAUAAAUUUAUUUCUUAAAAAUAA
rnacentral:lncRNA from 1 species